GGGGUAUUGUGAUGUCAUUAUGGGGUAUUGUGAUGUCGUUAUGGGUAUUGUGAUGUCAUUAUGGGGUAUUGUGAUGUCACCAUGGGGUAUUGUGAUGUCAUUAUGGGGUAUUGUGAUGUCGUUAUGGGGUAUUGUGUGUAGAUUGCUGAGGAAUUGUUUUUAUUUAAUCCAUUUUAGAAUAAGGCUGUAACGUAACAAAAUGUGGAAAAAGUCAAGGGGUCUGAAAACUUUCCGAAGGCACUGUAUGCAGACUGCAAACAUUCUUUAAAUUUCAAUCGAGCUAUACAGGGGAUCUUCAGUACUAUGAACAGAACAUAGCCCUAACAUUGCCUAAAUAGCAAGUAUCACACUUGAUUUUUCUGAAGAUAAAAUUUGUAUACAGAUUUUUAUUAAGAUGAAUAACUUUCUACAGCUCUUUUCUUUUUGUUCCCAUUGGUUCUGCUCAGGCUGAUGUGUAUGCAGAUAGACAUUGGUUCUGUUCAGGCUGAUGUGUAUCCAGAUAGACAUUGGUUCUGCUCAGGCUGAUGUGUAUCCAGAUAGACAUUGGUUCUGUUCAGGCUGAUGUGUAUCCAGAUAGACAUUGGUUCUGUUCAGGCUGAUGUGUAUGCAGAUAGACAUUGGUUCUGUUCAGGCUGAUGUGUAUCCAGAUAGACAUUGGUUCUGCUCAGGCUGAUGUGUAUCCAGAUAGACAUUGGUUCUGUUCAGGCUGAUGUGUAUGCAGAUAGACAUUGGUUCUGUUCAGGCUGAUGUGUAUGCAGAUAGACAUUGGUUCUGCUCAGGCUGAUGUGUAUCCAGAUAGACAUUGGUUCUGCUCAGGCUGAUGUGUAUCCAGAUAGACAUUGGUCCUGUUCAGGCUGAUUGCUGAUGUGUAUCCAGAUAGACAUUGGUCCUGUUCAGGCUGAUUGCUGAUGUGUAUCCAGAUAGACAUUGGUCCUGUUCAGGCUGAUUGCUGAUGUGUAUCCAGACAGAUAUUAUGGUUGACAUUAUUUACAUGUCAGUUUAUAUCAAUGAUGAUUCCCAUCAAGAGGUACGAUCACUUGAUUUGAUCAAGUGUCUCUACAAGGGCUGGUUUGUAUGAAGAAAUGUAAUGUAUAUGAAAUAUGUUUUAAGUGAAGAAAGUGAUUUGCAAGGAAUGAAUUAUGAUCUACAUCCUAAAUGGCACCAUAUUCCCUACGUAGUGCACUACUUUUGAAGAGGACCCAUAGGGGUCUGGUCAAAAGUAGUGCACUAUAUAGGGAAUAGGUAUUAGUACACAGCCAUGAUGAAAUCUAAACUGUUGUUUAACUCAUAUGAUGUACGGAGGAAGAAACUGAAAGUUGAGUCUGAGUGACACAACAAUGUCCAUUUUUAUUUUUCUUAUAAACACCUAGAACUGAUGAAACAGACCAGCUCACAAGACGUUGUGUUUUUUCUUCAACAUAAAUAUGCAGACUUCCUUUGAAAAUGGAAUCACAACGCAAACAAAUAAGCGUGUGAAAUGUCACCCUAUUCCCUACGUAGUGCACUACUUUUGACCAGGGCUCUGGUGCACUAGGGAUCAGGAUGGCAUUUCAGACGGGUUCAGAGUCAUUUUCUAAAUCCAUUUUUCAGACUCUAGUGACUUGACUGCAAACUGUCUU
rnacentral:lncRNA from 1 species